GACACGAGAAGACAAACAAAAUGUAUUGGAUAUCAAAAGGUAGAAUAAUAUAUACAAAUAAAUAGAAAAAAUGUAUCAAAAUAAAAGGUAAACUGAUCUAGAGAACCAAAGAUAGAAGUGUAUCCAAAAUAAACGGUAGACUAAUCACGUGCAGCAGAUGCUCAUGUCCCACCAAGACCAAUGGACCCCUAGUAUAUUCUGUCGACAUCUCGUUUAGAUCAACUCGACUCAUAUCCGUCGCAGACCUGUACUCUCUUCCACCAUGAGGUGAUGCAAGCUGUUGAGGCGAUCGACAUGGCUGAGAUGACCUAGAAUUAUAUCCGAAAAAGCAGGUAAUACCAUCUAUCAUAAAAGGCUCCAAGGCACUCUCCACCAAAUUAACAGUAGGCAUAUCCGAAAACAACUAAGACCCAAAAUCAUGCAUCGAAGAAUACACACUACCAUGUGUCAGAUGAGAACUCGAUCCUCCAAACUCAUAUAAGAAUUGUGAUAAAGAUCCGCCUUCUCUACUAAUACCACCUUCAAAACCUUCGCUACCUCCCUAAACUUGCACCACUUGGCUUGCGGGCUUUCGCUGGGUGGGGUGGGUGCUUGCUUUUUCAUUUUUAAAAAAGUAAAAGUAAAAGUAAAUUCCAUACGAAUUCGUUAAACAAAAUUAAGAAAAUCCUAGUUCACUAACAGAAUACAACAACAUAGACUCAAACACAAACUCCCUCUCCUUCUCCCACAAACGUAAAAUGGCCCCCUCUUUCUCAUCUUAGACUUCAGCCACACCUAGAGGCCAGGCCUCCGCUACGACGACGAUGACGCCACCUAGAACAUUUUCUCUAGUUGUGUUCCAUUAGCGACAUGAGUAUGUGAUCACAACUCCCUAUUCUUUUCUCGCAAACGGCGACCUCUGCUCGGUAGGAACGACCUCUGCUCACGUGCUUGGUCUACUCUACUUGGUCUUUUCCAUGUAACCCACACUGCUGCUCAAUCUCCUUUGUUCAGUCAGCCACAUCUCUUCAAAUCUCAAUCAUGUUUUCUUCUUACCUCAGACCUUAGUGAUAAUCUGCGACUACCUACUUAUACCCUUGGCCCUCCCUCUCUUCCAGGUUGCUCCAUCCAUCUUUAAUAUUUUAUUUUCAGUUAAGAUCCAUGUUAGCCCCU
rnacentral:lncRNA from 1 species